GUGCAGCCAUCUUCCAGCUGUUUGCCAGCAAAAAUCAGACGCUGCUGGUCAGGCGAGAUGCCCUCCUUGGCUUGGACUUUGGCUUUGACAUUCUCACUAGAUGGGAAGGGCACAAUUCUGAACUCCAUUC